rnacentral:rRNA from 1 species
UGGGGAAUUUUGGACAAUGGGCGCAAGCCUGAUCCAGCCAUGCCGCGUGCGGGAAGAAGGCCUUCGGGUUGUAAACCGCUUUUGUCAGGGAAGAAAUCUUCUGAGUUAAUACCUCGGGAGGAUGACGGUACCUGAAGAAUAAGCACCGGCUAACUACGUGCCAGCAGCCGCGGUAAUACGUAGGGUGCAAGCGUUAAUCGGAAUUACUGGGCGUAAAGCGUGCGCAGGCGGUUUUGUAAGACAGAGGUGAAAUCCCCGGGCUCAACCUGGGAACUGCCUUUGUGACUGCAAGGCUUGAGUGCGGCAGAGGGGGAUGGAAUUCCGCGUGUAGCAGUGAAAUGCGUAGAUAUGCGGAGGAACACCGAUGGCGAAGGCAAUCCCCUGGGCCUGCACUGACGCUCAUGCACGAAAGCGUGGGGGGCAAAACAGGAUUAGAUACCCUGGGUAGUCCACGCCCUAAACGAUGUCAACUGGUUGUUGGGAA